rnacentral:rRNA from 1 species
UACGUAGGGCGCAAGCGUUGUCCGGAAUUAUUGGGCGUAAAGAGCUCGUAGGCGGUUUGUCGCGUCGGAUGUGAAAGCCCGGGGCUUAACCCCGGGUCUGCAUUCGAUACGGGCAGACUGGAGUGUGGUAGGGGAGAUCGGAAUUCCUGGUGUAGCGGUGAAAUGCGCAGAUAUCAGGGGGAACACCGGUGGCGAAGGCGGUUCUCUGGGCAUGUCCUGACGCUGAGGAGCGAAAGCGUGGGUAGCAAACAGG